rnacentral:rRNA from 1 species
UCAGGCCUAACACAUGCAAGUCGAACGAGAAAGUUCCUUCGGGAGCGAGUAAAGUGGCGGACGGGUGAGUAACGCGUGGGAAUCUGCCUAGUAGUUGGGGACAACUUCCGGAAACGGGAGCUAAUACCGAAUACGCCCUACGGGGGAAAGGCUUCGGCCGCUAUUAGAUGAGCCCGCGUCAGAUUAGCUUGUUGGUGGGGUAAUGGCCUACCAAGGCAACGAUCUGUAGCUGGUCUGAGAGGACGAUCAGCCACACUGGGACUGAGACACGGCCCAGACUCCUACGGGAGGCAGCAGUGGGGAAUAUUGGACAAUGGGGGAAACCCUGAUCCAGCAAUGCCGCGUGUGUGAAGAAGGCCUGCGGGUUGUAAAGCACUUUCAGUAGGGAAGAUAAUGACGGUACCUACAAAAGAAGCACCGGCUAACUCCGUGCUAGCAGCCGCGGUAAUACGGAGGGUGCGAGCGUUAAUCGGAAUUACUGGGCGUAAAGAGCACGUAGGUGGUUUGGUAAGUCGGAUGUGAAAGCCCCGGGCUUAACCUGGGAAUUGCAUUCGAAACUGCCUCACUAGAGUCUAGCAGAGGGAUGGGGAAUUCCGGGUGUAGCGGUGAAAUGCGUAGAGAUCCGGAGGAACAUCAGUGGCGAAGGCGCCAUCCUGGGCUAAGACUGACACUGAGGUGCGAAAGCGUGGGGAGCAAACAG